CUCUUCUGAAUUGGCCUGACUUUUGUUGGUAUUUUCUUUUCAUCAAAUUCCUUAUUGUAAGGAAGUUUAACAAUGUGUUGCUUUCUGUGCCAGAAAGCAGUGGGAAUGUUAGAACAAAUUUCAUUAACAAGUUUCUUUUGAAAGUUGUCAAUGUUUUGUAACAAAGAUUUGUUUGUUAAUUGUUCUUCAAUUCUUUUGUAAUUAAUUUCUUCUUUUAAGAAAUUAAUUUGUUGUGACUUUUUGGUGACUAGACUGAUGGUUUUUGAGAUACUAUCUUUUUGUAAUUGUCUUAAUUUUUUUAGAUCUGUUUCCGUGCAAAAUUCAAAUGUGAUUUUUUGUCCUAAUAAUCUGGUAGUUAUAUGGUUAUGGUGUACCUUAAAAGGAUACAUGAGAGCUAUGAAGGGAAGCCCUAGAAUGACUGGGUCUGAAAUGUUUUUUAUUCAAACGAAUGGGGUUUUAAAACAAACAUUGUUUUGACAAAGAUGAGUUUUUGGAAUUUCAUAUUUUAAUUGCAUUGGGGACUGGUUUGUUGCACUAAGGAUUUUUGUUGAUUUAUGAAAAUACUUAGUGGGAAUUAAACCUUCUUAAAUACAAUUCUAGUCCGCACCUAAGUCAAUUAAGGCAAUUGUUUCUAACUGGAAGUCUUCAAUUAUUAUUUUUAUUUUAGAAAACCAUUUCUGGAUCCGAAUUUUUUGUAGUAACCUAAAACUAGGUUUUCUGUUGGAUUUUCUAUGGACUUGGAUUCUGAUUCUUGGUCGGAGGAAGAACUAUUGUGUUCUUCAUCAUUAUUGCUAAGAAAUGCUUGUAUUUGGAUACUACUGAGGUGUGAGCGGAUUUCUAUGUUUUAUGAUUUUAAGGACUUAAUUUCUUCCUUAAUUUUGUUGACUUCCCUUUGUAGGUCUUUGACUGUAAUUUCUUUUUUUAGCCUUAUUAAACCUUUCCAGGGUUGUGCUAAGACAAUUUGUUGGGGCUACCUAAGGUUGACUAGUACUGGCUUCUUCAGAUGAGACUAACUUCUUAAGUUUCUUUAAAUAAAAUGACUUUAAUUCAAUGUCAUAUACUUUGUUGAUUAACUCGAUAAGAAGAUCUUCUUGUUUAUUGAAAACUGAAAUCUUUUUACAACAAGCAUCUGUGCAUCCUAUCUUAAUGUUGGGGAUGAAAGACUACUUGAGAAAUUACUGGAAGAGGAUGAAUUAAAAUCUAAAUCGUCUUCAGAUUGACUAUGGUCUGUGUCUCUUAAUUCUAAAAUUGGAUUAGCUGAGUCUUCACUUCCUCAGAGAUUUUCAACUGAUUGAUUGUUUUCUUGACUCUACAUUUGUUUGCAUAAUGACCGAAUUUGCCACACUGGUAGCAAUUCUCUUUUUGUUCUUGAUUUUUGGAGUGGAGUUUUCCUGAGGGUUUCCUCUUCCACUUGUUGAACUUGGGUUUCUUGUAAAAUUUAUUUGUUUCAAAAUUCUUAUUUUUGAAUUUGUUAUGUUUGGGGUGUCUCCUACUGGAGUGCCUAUUUCGGUAUCUAUUGUAGGGUUUUGAUUUUUUCUUUUUGUUGGAUGGAGCAAUAAGAGGUAAUCCGUAUUGUUCACAAAAUGUUCCUAAUUUGUAUUUGGCUAUUGACUUGUUUUGUAAUUUUCAUAUCAAUACACAUUUUCAAUCCUUCUUUCUGGAUAGUAUUAAUAAUAUUUCCAUAUUUAAGGGUAUGAUAUGGUAUGAUACCUUCUUCAUUAACUAAAACGUUUCUGAUUUUAUGGGCAAAUAGAUUUGGUAAUCCAUUAAUGAAAUUUUCCUUCCAAAAUGGUUGAUUACUAUCUUCUCUAAGUAUGACUGUAGCCACGAAAUCAUCUUUGUACCACCUAAAAUCGUUUAGGGUUAGACAUCUUAAGUUAAUGAGUUGGUCAUGAAUCUUCGAUGUGACAUUACUAGGUGUCCCAAUGAAAUGUUCUAUGAUAGUGAAAAGUAAUGUGUUGACCGCAUCUGGGACUCCUCUUCGAAUACGUUCAUCGAAAAUAGGAGUUCCUUCUUCAUCUCUUUUGACUGCAUUUUUUAUUUCAUUUCUGGAUUGUUCAGUAAGAUGUUUUUCCAACCAGGAAUCAAGCAUUCUUGUAAAUCCAGUGACCAAAAGGUCGACAACUUGGGUUUGACAGAGGUUAUGAUUGGUAAUAUAACUAUUAGCAACCAUGGAGAUGUGUUGUAAUUUGUUCAAAAGUUCUUGUUCUGAUAAUCCAUCUAUGUUCCAUUCAUAGAGUUUAUCAGUCGAGACUGAGAAUUGGUUUUGGAUGUUUCUUUCCUCAAAUUGAAUAUCUGGAUGUGUUGGCCUUGGAUACCAAUUUUUGGUAAGAGUUGUCGGGUUGAAUCUUUUGUUUGUGAUGCGUUUUAGUUCAAGAUUUUGAAAAGUUUCUUCUACUUUUCUAAUAGAAUUUUUUUCACUCUCACCUUCUGAAUCCCAUAUUACAAAAGUUGUUUCUAGUUGAGAUUCAUCUGAGUAUUGUAAAACAUUGACUGUUUUUUCUUGUUUUAACUCUUGUAACAUUUGAUCUAUUUUUUGACUUAUGGAGAUUGUUUUCAAGGCUGUUGUACUAGAUGAGGCUUCUGGGAAGUUGACUAAGGGUUUUUCCUUAAUUGUUGGUUUGAAAUGUGAAAGUCUAUCUAUUUUGGUUUCUAUUUUAUCUAGUUGUUUUCCUAUGGUGUGUAGACUCUGGUUUGUGAAAUUAUUUUGUUCAAUGAUUGGCUUGACUCCUGCAUCUUCUUUGGGAAGUUUGAAAGGGGUGGCUGGUACACGUGUGUUUGCAACUAUAAUUAAAAUUGUUUCUUGUGGAGGGUGACUAGAAGAGACUAUGGUUUUGUCUUCUUUAAGCCAAUUUUCAUUGGUGAUAACUUCUAAUUUCUUUUCAGACUCAUAAUAUUUUUUAACAAAAUUGAAGAAAAAUACUUCAAAUCUAUGUUUUUUUCAUGAAAUUGGUCCAUUUACUGUAAUGUCCAAUUUUUGUUCUUUUGUAUAUUUUUCCCUAAAGGUGUUUCUUUUGGGAAUGUUUUCUAUUGCUUCGAUGUCAGCAUUGAGUUUCUUCCAUCGAAUUUUGAAUGGUUUGUUUAGGACUAGCAGUUGGUGGUUGACUUGAUUUGCUUCGAAAUCAAAUUUUGUUGGAGAGGUUUGUUCUCCUUGAUUUUGGGUGUUAGGUUGGUAUCGUGGAUGAGUGACCUAAGAGGUUGUUUCUACUGAUUUUAACUUCAUGUUGAUCAAAUCAUUAAUUCAUUCUUGUUAAGUAACUACUGAGCUAGUUUCUACUGAUUUUAAUUUCUUAUUGACCGAAGAAUUGAUUAAAUCUCGAUCUCGACCCACCAUAUCGGUUGAUGUGGAUCCAGAAAAAGUGUUUCAAUCUGGCUCUAAAGAUUUGUGUGACUGGGCCAACUCGUGUAAGUGGACACUAGAUUUUCUGGCUAAACGGUUGAAGUUGAUUUUAACUGUUCCGUCAAAAUAUUAUUCUAUGUUGUCUAGGUUGACUAAGCUAUUUUGUAUGCUUCAUGGUUUGCUUUCAUUGAUCAACCACCAAUCUUAAGGUAGACUGAUAUCUGACCAUUUGAUAGUUCUUGGUGAUGUUGGCAUUUUCUUGAUGGGUUUGUAUCAAGAGUGUGUGGUCUCUAGGACUUUUAACUCAGGCUUGGAAAUUCAUGUUUAUUCCUGUAACUUUGCAAUAAACUCUAAAAAUUAAUGGUUUGACUCCUUCAAGAACUUGGUACCCUAAAGUUUUGAUGCGUAAUGUGAAUGAUUUUAGCAUGUAGGGAUCUGAAAGACUUUAUCAUGAGAUCUGGGAAACAAUCAAAAUGAAUUGGUCCGUUGUAAAGACUUGACUCAAUCAUCCCAAGAAUGCUAUCACCGAAGUCAAUGAAUGUUGCAUCUCAGAGGCAUAACAAAAUAGAGGUAUUGAGGUCUUUUCUUGUUAAGGUCUCGACUGCUAUUUAGACUAGACCUAUGUGAAUGUAAUUGUAACCAUCUUUUCUAUGGGUUUUAAUUUGUUUUGGUGUGAACAACUGACAAGUUUCAUGUUUUUUACUAAGAGCAUAAGAUUUUUCAACUGUUUUGACGUGAUUUUCACUUCUAAAAGAGACUACUGACCAUUUCUUUUUGUAAAUGUUUUUACUAGAAACCUUGGGGAUAUUCCAAUCUCCAAAGUCGACACUAUCAUCUAUUUGAAAUUCUAAUUUUUGUUCUUCAUUUACUAUGUCUGGAAUUCUACUUAAACUGGAUCUAGAGCUAGUGCUGGCCAUUGAAUUAGAUCUAAACAAUCAACUCAUAAUGCUCAAAAUGCAGGUUUUCAAUAUAGAGAAAUCUUAUUGGCUUUACCUUCUGCUAAACUCUCUCUUCGCUCAUGUGAUCCGCUCAUGCCAAUCCUUUGGACUUAUUAUUUGAAACACGCCUUACUGUUUGGAUUGAGAGUAAACAAUCCUACUUAGAAGGUCAACAAAUUAGACCAACUAUAAAUGAAAACUGAAGGAUGAACAGAAUGUAGUGAUUAUAAAGAUGAUAACUUAAUCACCACUUACUUGGCUCUGAUCAGGUCUUCUUGCUGUCAUUCUUCCCCUUCAGAAAUUCUCUGGUUAGGAAAUCAGGAAUGCAAUUUUAACUACCUUUGAUGUAUUCGAUUUCAAAAUAAAAAAAUACUUAAUAUAGCUUGCCAUCGUACAAAAAUAUGUUUUGAUGCAAUGUAGUGAUUAUAAAGAUGAUAACUCAAUCACCACUUACUUGGCUUUGAUCAGAGAAGCCUCAUCUGAUCAUGUCUUCUAGCUGUCAUUUUUCCUCUGCAAAAAUUCUCUGAUUAGGAAAUCAGAGAUGCAAUUUUGACUACCUUUGAUGCAUUUAAUUUCAAAAUAAAAAAUACUUAAUAUAGCUUGUCAUCGUGCAAAAAUCUGUUUUGAUGCUAUGUUUUGAAUAUCUUUUUGUAAAACAUGUUUUGUGGAUUUAUAAUCGACUCUGACUAAAAACUUUUGAUUUAAUAAAUCAUCUGAAAAUUUACUAAUACAUAAUACUAUAAAUAAUAUUUUUUUUCUUAAUAGUACAAUAAUUACUUUGUGGUAGAUUUCAUACUCUUGAAUGAAAAUGAACAAUUUGUUUAGGAGAUCUAGAAGAAAUUGACAAUUUGAGAAUACUCACGUAACCAAUUCUAGAGGCAUCAGUUUCAACGAUCUUGAAUGAAUUAGGAGUUGGAAUGCCAAGACAGGAUAAUGUCUUAACAUGUGACUUGAUCUGUUUGACUAUGGAAGUAUGAAUAUUAGACCAUGAUAAGGGAUUUUCUUUUAGACGAUCAAACAAACGUUUGCAUUGUUGCCUAAGAUGUGGAUAAAAUUCUGCAACAUAACUUAAAGAUCCUAGAAAUCUCUGUAAUUGGGUUUUGUCAGUAAUUUCAUCUGGGAAUUUAUCUGCAAACUGAAUUACUCUAUCUAUUGGCUGAAUGGUUGACUGGUGGAUAUUGUAUCCUAAAACCCUAAUUUUGGUUUGGAAAAACUGAAGUUUGGUUGCUGAGACAACUAAUCAAUUUGACUUAAUUAUCCUAGCAAACAUAUUUAAGUGUUUCCAAUGCUCAUCUAUCGAUUUAGAAUAAAUCAGAACAUUGUCAAUAUAAGCAAUUGAGAAGUGACUGUACUGGUUAAAUAUUUCAUUCAUGAUAUUUUGAAAAUCAUUGGGUGCAUUCUUAAGACCGAAUGGCAUUACAUUCCAUUCAUAAUGACCAAAAGGAGUGAUAAAUGUUGUUUUGUAUUUAUCCUCCUCAUGAAUUUGAAUCUGCCAAAAUCCAGACUUCAUGUCAAAUUUUGAGAAGAUUACUGCUUGACUAAGUCUCUUAAUUAAAUCUAUGUUGUUGGGAAUUGGAUAUUGUAUCCAUUCUAAGACUUCAUUAAGAGGUUUGUAAUUAAUGACUAACCUAGGAGUUCCUCUUUCUAAUUCAACGUUUUUCUGGACAUAAAAAACAGGACAAGAUCAGGGUGAUUCAUUUUUCCUAAUUAUUCCUUUAUUGAGAAGUUCUUGAAUUUCUGUUUAGCAGAAUUCCAUGACUUCUUGGCUCAUUUGAAUUGGCCUAGCUUUUGUUGGUAUUUUCUUUUCAUCAAAUUCCUUAUUGUAAGGAAGUUUAACAAUGUGUUGCUUUCUGUGCUAAAAAGCAAUGAGAAUGUCAAAACAAAUUUCAUUAACAAGUUUCUUUUGAAAGUUGUCAAUGUUUUGUAACAAAGAAUUGUUUGUUAAUUGUUCUUCAAUUCCUUUGUAAUUAAUUUCUUCUUUUAAGAAAUUAAUUUGUUGUGAUUUUUUGGUGACUAGAUUGAUGGUUUUUGAGAUACUACCUUUUUGUAAUUGUUUUAAUUUUUUUAUCUAUUUCCGUGCAAAAUUCAAAUGUGAUUUUUUGACCUAACAUUGUUGUGGUUAUGUGGUUAUGACGAACCCUAAAAGGAUAUAAGAGACCUAUGAAGGGAAGCCCUACAAUGACUGGGUCUGAAAUGUUUCUUAUCAAAACAAAUGGUGUUUUGAAACAAACAUUAUUUUGGCAAACAUGUGCUUUUGGGAUUUCGUAUUUUAAUUGCAUUGGGGACUGGUUUGUUGCACUAAGGAUUUCUGUUGAUUUAUGAAAAUAUUUAGUGGGGAUUAGUCCUUCCUGAAUACAAUUCAAGUUCACACCUGAAUCGAUCAAGGCAAUGGUUUUUAACUAGAAGUCUUCAAUUAUUAUUUUUAUUUUAGAAUACCAUUUUUUGGAUUCUAAUUUUUUAUAAUAAUCCUAACACUAAGUUAUGCGUUGAAUUUUCUUCUGGUUCUGAUUGUUGAUCGGAUGAAGAAUUAUUUUAUUCUUCGUCUGAUGGGGAUUGGAUGUCGUUUUUCCUAAGAAACUCAUGUGGUUGAAAGUUACUAAGCUGUGAACGAAUUUUUGAGUUUUCUGAUUUUAGAAACUUAAUUUCUUCUUUGAUUUUAUUGACUUCUGUUUAUAUAUCCUUGACUGUAAUUUCCUUCUUAGUUUUACUGAACCUUUCCAAGGUUGUAUUAAGACUGAUUUUUUGGGUUACUUGGGGUUGACUAGUACUGGCUUCUUCUUGAGAGACUAGCUUCUUUAAUUUCUUGAGAUAAAAUGAUUUUAAUUCAGAGUCGUCGAUUUUACUAAUUAAUUCAAUAAGAAGAUCUUCUUGUUCUUCUUGUUUAUUGAGGACUGAAAUUUUGUUACAACAAGCAUAUGUGCAUCCUAUCUUCAUGUCAGGGGAUGAGAGACUACUUGAGGAUUGACUGGAAGAAGACAAACCUAAAUCAUCUUCGGAUUGACUAUGGUAUGUGUCUCUGAGUUCUAAGACUUAGAUUAACUAUGUUUUCUCUUCUUCAGAGAUUUUCAACUGGUUGAUUGUUUUCUUGACUAUACAUUUAUUUGCAUAAUGACCGAAUUUGCCACACUUGUAGCAAUUCCAUACAUUUAUUUGCAUAAUGACCGAAUUUGCCACACUUGUAGCAAUUCCCUUUUUGUUUUUUGAUUUUUAGAGUGGAGUUUUCCUGAGGGUUUCCUCUUCAACUUGCUGAACUUGGGUUUCUCGUAAAAUUUAUAUGUUUAAAAAUUCUUAUUUUUGAAUUUGAUAUGUUUGGGGUGUUUCCUAUUGGAGUACCUAUUUGGGUAUCUAUUGUAGGGUUCUGAUUUUUUUCUUUUUGUUGGAUGGAGCAAUAGGAGGUAAUCCGUAUUGUUCACAAAAUGCUCCUAAUUCGUAUUUGGCUAUUGACUUGUCUUUGUUGACUUGUUUUGUAAUUUUCAUAUCAAUACACAUUUUCAAUCCUUCUUUUUUAAUAAUAUUAAUAAUAUUUCCAUAAGUAAAGGUAUGAUAUAGUAU
rnacentral:lncRNA from 1 species